AAAAGUGAUAAAACAAUUUAAUGCUGGUAUACGUUUUUGUAAGUUAUUUUUUCCACUAUUAGUAUAAAUGAUUACUUUAUUCCACAAUAUAACAUUUAAUAAAAAAUUUGUAAUGCUUAUUAAAGUCAUAUUAAUACAGCUAACAGAUCAGGGUUGACAUUUUCCAUUCAUCACUCUGUAGCUGGGACAUUCGCAUUAUAUCCUAUUGUGAAAAUUUCAUAACUCAAUACUACAUUUUUGAGACAAAUGAAAUGGACUCUAUGUUGAGUAUUUCAGGCAACUAAUCAGCUGAGUUGAAUGAAAAAUCUACAACUGUAUGUAACAUUUAUUAGUUGAUGGCAAAUAUGUUCAUUAUUUGUAAGAAUCAACAAUUACGUAGAAAAGGAACAAGCCAUACAUUUUAAAAGACAAAAUGGAGAA
rnacentral:lncRNA from 1 species